UUCGGAUUGUAGUCUGCAACCCGACUACAUGAAGCUGGAGUCGCUAGUAAUCGCGGAUCAGAAUGCCGCGGUGAAUACGUUCCCGGGUCUGGUACACACCGCCCGUCACACCAUGGGAGUCGGAAAUGCCCGAAGUCUGUGACCCAACCUUAGGGAGGGAGCAGCCGAAGGCAGGUCGGAUGACUGGGGUGAAGUCGUAACAAGGUAAC
rnacentral:rRNA from 1 species